rnacentral:rRNA from 1 species
GAUGAACGCUGGCGGCGUGCUUAACACAUGCAAGUCGAGCGAGAGAGUUCUUCGGAACAAUUUAGCGGCGGACGGGUGAGUAACACGUGGGCAACCUGCCUCAUAGAGGGGAAUAGCCUUCCGAAAGGAAGAUUAAUACCGCAUAACAUCGUUGAAGGGCAUCCUUCGAUGAUCAAAGGAGUAAUCCGCUAUGAGAUGGGCCCGCGGCGCAUUAGCUAGUUGGUAAGGUAACGGCUCGCCAAGGCGACGAGGCGUAGCCGACCUGAGAGGGUGAUCGGCCACAUUGGGACUGAGACACGGCCCAGACUCCUACGGGAGGCAGCAGUGGGGAAUAUUGCACAAUGGGGGAAACCCUGAUGCAGCAACGCCGCGUGAGUGAUGACGGCCUUCGGGUUGUAAAGCUCUGUCUUUGGGGACGAUAAUGACGGUACCCAAGGAGGAAGUCACGGCUAACUACGUGCCAGCAGCCGCCGUAA